rnacentral:rRNA from 1 species
GUCUUUUUGAGUUUUAUUUAAAGUCUAAUCUGCCCACUGAUUAAAAAUUAAAUGGCCGCAGUAUUCUAACUGUGCAAAGGUAGCAUGAUCAGUAGUCUUUUAAUUGAGGACUUGUAUGAAUGAUUGAACGAAAUAUAAACUGUCUCAAAUAAAAAUUAAUUGAAUUUUAUUUUUUAGUCAAAAAGCUAAAAUAAAUUUAAAAGACGAGAAGACCCUAUAGAUCUUUAUAAAAAUAAUAUUUAUUUUUUUAGGUUAUUUUUUAAAUUGAUAAAUAUUUUUAUUUUAUUGGGGUGAUAUUGAAAUUUAAAAAACUUUCAAUAAUAUUAUUACAUAAAUUUAUGAAUAAUUGAUCCUAUAAUAUAGAUUAAAAAUUUAAGUUACCUUAGGGAUAACAGCGUAAUUAUUUUGGAGAGUUCUUAUCGAUAAAAUAGAUUGCGACCUCGAUGUUGGAUUAAGAUUAAUUUUAGGUGUAGCCGCUUAAACUAUUAAGUCUGUUCGACUUUUAAUUUCUU